rnacentral:snRNA from 1 species
GCUUUACCCCUGUGCAAGGAUGACAUGCAAAUUCGUGAAGUGUUCCAUAUUUUU